ensembl:snRNA U2 U2 spliceosomal RNA
ACUGUGUUAAUGCUUGAAAAGUUAGAAUAAAAGCUUUGAAUCAUCUGUUCUUAUCAGUUUAAUAUCUGAUACGUCCCCCAUCGGGGGCCUACAUAUUAAAUGGAUUUUUCAAACAGGGAGUCGGAAAUGGGGCUUGCUCCGUCCGCUCCACGCAUCGACCCGGUAUUGCAGUACCUCCGGGAACGGUGCAACACUU